rnacentral:rRNA from 1 species
UUAUCGGUUAUGCCGCCAGGCGUACUGCCGAGUAGCUACGUUCGGUUGAGAUAAGUGCUGAAAGCAUCUAAGUACGAAGCUUGCCUCGAGAUUAGAUCUCAUCAUAAGGGUGGUUACAGACGAUGACCUUGAUAGGCUACAGGUGUAAAGGUGGUGACAUCAAAGCCGAGUAGUACUAAUAGCCCGAAAGUUUUUGCG